UGAUCCUGCCUUUCAGGCAUCCUCUCCCAAAACUUUCAAAGCCGAUCGGGCAACCGGUCGGCUUUUUUUCGCCUCAUG
rnacentral:sRNA from 1 species